CAUAUUAUGUAAAAAUGGAGCCUGUGGGCUUACUUACCUUUAUCUUCUUGCCUUCUCUCUUCUUCAAGCCUCUUCUGUGGCUUUUUACAUGUCCAGACAAAUAUGAUCUUGUCAAACAAAAGAUCCUGACUGACCCAGCAUAACGACGUCUCAGGGUCAGAAGUCACAGGGAGGUCCGAGCGAGCUGAUUUUCCAUAGUAUAUAACUAAAUUAAAUAACCACUAUGCUUAUUAUGGUGCGUAAUAUGGAGAGCUGUCUUUCAUUUUAUUUUACGUUUCUUUUUACCACCACUAGCAAGGAGUGACUGUAAGGAACCCUCUGCUGGCCACGGGACCUUAUGCCAACACAAAGUUCGCUUAGUGGCUCGGCCGGCUCUAAAUACACACAUAUAGUUUAUGUAUAACCAGUAAGUAUUUAUUCAGCAAUAAGCGGGAAAAGUUCAUCUGUACGGAAUAUCUUGUUCGUAACAUGGUCAAUCUACAUUAAUGUUUGGCGGUGCAAGCAACAAUCCUAAUCCCUACUUUUUGAAGACAUUUUUAUAAUUUAAGUAAUUUCAUGAAUCAGACAGCCAUACUAGCAGCUUUGUGAGGCUGUACUUAGCCACAGCCGUGCUUUGAGCUAAAUGCUAACAGUCAGCAUGCUAACAUGGUCACAUUCAUAAAUGCGGCUGCCAUCUUGAACCGGUCGUACUCCCAGUUGUGCAACUGAAGAAAGCAAGAUGCCAGGCUGCUGUUUAGCAUAUUCAUGCUCAAAUCGGCGGACCAUCGCAAACAGGGCUCGGGGGAUUAACGUUACUUUUCACAAGUGCUGAGAACUGCAGAGAGGGUGAUGCGCCGAGCUCCAACAGUGCAAGCUCCUAAGGUGUCGACAGUCACACACAUCGUCCAGGAGGAGAUUGGAACGCAGGAUGGUUUUUCUGCGUGGGGAACACAUUGAGGAAACACAGUUUGGCAUCGACAACGUGUUAGUACAGUGUGUGUGUAUGACACAGGGACAAAUAUAAAAAGCUUCAAGUAGACUCUAAUAUAAUUCAUCAUAUAUUGUAUUGGUUCAAAUUAUUAAAAUAUCUGACUUUACUCUAA